AUUGAACGCUGGCGGCAUGCUUUACACAUGCAAGUCGAACGGUAACAGGCCGCAAGGUGCUGACGAGUGGCGAACGGGUGAGUAAUACAUCGGAACGUGCCCGAUCGUGGGGGAUAACGAAGCGAAAGCUUUGCUAAUACCGCAUAAGAUCUACGGAUGAAAGCAGGGGACCGCAAGGCCUUGCGCGAACGGAGCGGCCGAUGGCAGAUUAGGUAGUUGGUGGGAUAAAAGCUUACCAAGCCGACGGUCUGGAGCUGGUCUGAGAGGACGACCGGCCACACUGGGACUGGGACACGGCCCAGACUCCGACGGGAGGCAGCAGUGGGGAAUUUUGGACAAUGGGGGCAACCCUGAUCCAGCCAUGCCGCGUGAGUGAAGAAGGCCUUCGGGUUGUAAAGCUCUUUCGGUGGGAACAAAACGGGCACGGCUAAUACCCGUGUUCAAUGACGGUACUCACAGAAGAGGCACCGGCUAACUACGUGCCAGCAGCCGCCGUAAUAC
rnacentral:rRNA from 1 species